GGAAAUACAAGUAUAAGUACAAGUAUGGGAAAGUACAAGAUGUUUUUACAACCCAUACUUUCCCAUACUUGUUGGUCCAGAGUAUUUUUUUUUUUUUUUUUUAAUUUUUUUU
rnacentral:ribozyme from 14 species